rnacentral:rRNA from 1 species
UACGAAGGGGGCUAGCGUUGCUCGGAAUCACUGGGCGUAAAGCGCACGUAGGCGGAUCUUUAAGUCAGGGGUGAAAUCCUGGAGCUCAACUCCAGAACUGUCUUUGAUACUGAGGAUCUUGAGUCCGGGAGAGGUGAGUGGAACUCCGAGUGUAGAGGUGAAAUUCGUAGAUAUUCGGAAGAACACCAGUGGCGAAGGCGGCUCACUGGCCCGGUACUGACGCUGAGGUGCGAAAGCGUGGGAGCAACAG